UCGGGGUUACAGCCUUGCUGAAUUAUUCACCCGUGUCUUUUGCGUACUUCUUGUUUCCUUGGUGGGUUCGCCCACCAUAGGACAAACCAUAAACCUUUUGUAAUUGCAAUCAGCGUCAGUAAAAAAAAUUAAUAAUUACAACUUUUAACAACGGAUCUCUUGGUUCUGGCAUCGAUGAAGAACGCAGCGAAAUGCGAUAAGUAGUGUGAAUUGCAGAAUUCAGUGAAUCAUCGAAUCUUUGAACGCACAUUGCGCCCUUUGGUAUUCCAAAGGGCAUGCCUGUUCGAGCGUCAUUUGUACCCUCAAGCUUUGCUUGGUGUUGGGCGUCUUGUCUCCAGUUCGCUGGAGACUCGCCUUAAAGUAAUUGGCAGCCGGCCUACUGGUUUCGGAGCGCAGCACAAGUCGCGCUCUCUUCCAGCCAAGGUCAGCAUCCACAAAGCCUUUUUUCAACUUUUGACCUCGGAUCAGGUAGGGAUACCCGCUGAACUUAAGCAUAUCAAUAGCCG
rnacentral:rRNA from 1 species